rnacentral:misc_RNA from 1 species
AAGAUCAUACAUAAUUUCAGUAGUGGAACGCUCUCAUAGGGGACGUGUCGUGUACAUAUGGACAUAAAAUAAUUAUUUUUAUCAAGCAAAUCACAGAUCUAACAACGAUAAUAUUGAAUUAACGCAAAAACUAAUUAAUUCGAAUUAAUAAAGUCGAAGGAAUUCACGCGUAUAUUAUUUUAUAAUUACGUAAAUCAGCAUAAGAAUCGCGUUUAAAGUUUACGUUUUGUUUCGUCGAUGUAAACAAAAGAGCUGUUAUUAAAACAAUGCGUGUGGUAAACGGGCGUGAAUGAGGUUCGUGCAGGACGGAUUCGCGAGGACAUUUACUAGGAAACACUGGAGAAUGAGCGGCGUCAGCAGAGAUGCACCUUUAGGGGUGCAGUUUAUACAGAAACUUAGUAAUUCGUGGUGCCCGAGGCUGCAGAUCAACCGUUUACGAUGGUACCAAGCAUCAGUUCUAGUGCUGACCUUCUUCACGUACAUGACGUACCAUCUGACCCGCAAGCCUAUAUCGGUGGUGAAGAGUGUGCUUCAUCAGAACUGCUCGGCGCUGGUGCCUCCGCCCGGCACCGACCCUGGAGACGACCAGUGGUGUAACUGGGCACCUUUCAACACGGCUGACGCCAACACGCUGCUGGGUACCCUGGACUCUGCUUUCCUGUUCUCCUAUGCAGCGGCCAUGUUUGUGUCAGGCAUGGUGGCCGAGCGAGUCGAUCUCCGUUACUUCCUCUCACUAGGAAUGCUAACUUCUGCCAUUUUCUGCUACCUCUUCGGUGUUGGACGGACUUACAGCAUACAUAAUAUAUCAUAUUAUUUGCUGGUUCAGGCUGGAGCAGGUAUAGCCCAGACAACUGGGUGGCCGGGCACAGUCGCCAUUGUCGGUAAAUGGUUCGGCAAUAGUAAGAAAGGACUCAUUUUUGGAAUAUGGAACUCUCAUACUUCACUUGGCAAUAUAUUGGGUACAAUAAUGGCAGCAGAAUACGUGGACUCUGAUUGGUCGUUAUCGUUCAUCUACCCGGCUCUAGUGAUGGGCUGCGUGGGGGCAGUAGUGUGGCUGUUUCUGCCCCCAGAGCCGCGCCUAGUGGGGUUAGCUAGCGCUGUUAAUAAUAGUAGAAACUCGCCGGCGCGGCAGUCGUCGCGGUCUGAUGAGGAAGACGAUGUGGAAGAUGAUGAAGAGUCUUCAGUCAUUGUGGGAGACCAGUCAGCGAGCUUACGACCAAACAGACACUCAGCAAAUACAACACAACCAGAAGAAGUGACAGAGCGAACCUCCCUCCUCCGCUCCGGCAGCUCCGAGAGUGCAGUGUCCCUGACGCGAGCGCUGGCCAUCCCCGGCGUGCUGGAGUUCUCGCUGUCCCUGUUCUUCGCUAAGCUCGUCAGCUAUACCUUCCUGUACUGGCUGCCGUCGUACAUCAGGUUUACUAUGGCGGAUCUGUCAGCCCGUCAGUCAGGCGAGCUGAGCACGGUGUUCGACGUGGGUGGCGUGGUGGGCGCAGUACUAGCGGGGCUGGUGGCUGACUGCACAGCUUGCCCAGCACUCGUGUGCGUCGCGUUCUACAGUCUUUGUGCUCCUAUGCUAUUCAUCUACCAGUACUUCGGCGCUACGUCUUACCUGGUGAACGUAGCUCUACUGGUGAUGACGGGCAUGCUGGUGAACGGUCCAUACGCUCUCAUCACCACGGCAGUGAGCGCGGAGUUGGGCACUCACACCAGUUUGGCUGGUAACAGUAGAGCGCUGGCUACUGUUACUGCGAUCAUUGAUGGCACUGGGAGUGUGGGUGCAGCCAUAGGUCCGAUGCUAGCUGGCGUGGUCUCCAGCAGGUCUUGGACCAACGUGUUCUACAUGCUCAUCGCCUGCAACUUCAUGGCGUUGUUCCUCUUGCUAAGGAUAGCAAGAUCUGAAUUCCUAAAGCUAAAACAAGAACGCCGCAUGGCAUCCCCGCCGCGAGUACGUAUAGAGUAACACACAUACACACAUACACACAUACACACACACUCACAUACACAAACACACACAUAUUUGUAACAUAACCAUCCAAUUUAUUGCUGACAAAACAUAUCUUACUUUUAUUAAUUUUACCCCGUCCAACUUUUGGUAGGACAAACAAUCGGACCGAUUUUUCGUAGGAUACUCUGACUAGGACGUUUCUGACCGACUUCGUAGGACGUUUGCGUUGCACUAUUGCUAUCAGUGUGUUCUAUAUCUGUCCUACAAAAUAUCGGACACCGAUUUAUCGGACGGUGUGAUGUAUAAGUGUUUUGUAUUGCCAUUUUAUUUUAAUUGUAUAAAAAUGACAAGGACAGAAUAUAAAUGUUAUUUUGUGUUUUUGAUAAUGUAGUGUGCCAAAGUUAUUUGUUGGAUGAAAAUAACUUUUUAUUAUUGUGACAAAGUGCUAAUGAGUUGGGUAAACUGAUUUUGUUGAUAAAAACAUCUGUACCAAAUUGUGGACUGAAAGUAAAACUUAAAAAAAAUAUUUCAGUAGACUAUUAAAACAACUUAUUAAAAAAUAUCAAGUUUUGGGCCAAAAAAAUACCCAUCUAUAUUACAUCAGUUUUUUUUUGGACAUUUAGGUACUUAUGGAUCAGAUUUUAACUACGUAUCAAUGACAAAGUUAGUAGACAGAAUCGUCAUUCAAAAGUUGACUUUAUGUAUGUUAAUUUAACUGUGCGUUGAAUCAUUUAACUAUAACGAUAACCGUUAACUAUUUGAAGUUGUCAAAUCGAUGAUGUGACCUAUGGGCGGCAAGUAUUGGCUAUGUGCAAAGCGAGUAGCGGCGGACAAUAACGACCGCAGCGCACGGCGCGGCAGAAAUUGGAAACAAAUGCGGAUGUUUCAAACCCGGUUUUUAUCAUUAUAUUCAUUUUACAGUAAAACUAUUGAAUAAAUUGCACUUAAACAAUGUCAACAACACUAUUUUAAUCUUUGGUUUUAUUUAUAUUCGCAAAGAAAAUUAUAAUGUUUAUUAUUUGACAGCUUCCGCAAAUGUUGUAAACGCUACGCGUCGCCACCGUCGCGCACAUAGCCAAUAGGGCUGGUUAUAGUUUGGUUAUCGUUAUAGUUAAACUAAUUUUAACUGGGCUGUGGUACCCAACUACCUGAAUUAAAACUUAUUCUUUAACAUAAUCAAUUAAAUAAAUAAUUAUUGUUCUGAAUGGAUGGUAUAUAAUUUGUAUAAAUAAUAAUAUAAUAGAAAUAAAUGUGUAUAUCUAAAUCAUAUUUGUUAAAUUUCCGUGUUGUAAAAAUGUCUAAUUAAAAUAAUCGUAACUGAUAAUUCAAUACUAGUUUUAACCGACUUCCGAAAAGUAGGUUUCCAAUUCAUAAUCUUCUGUUCGGUUUCAAUCAAACUGUAAAUAAUAUUGUAUGUCGACUACUUAUGUUAUUUUAGCUUAACCGAAUUUAAAUAAAUAUUAUUAUACGUAGGCCUUAUCAUCCUCCGAACCUUUUUUCCCAACUAUGUUGGGGUCGGCUUCCAGUCUAACCGGGUGCAGCUGAGUACCAGUGUGCCACAAGGAGCGACUGCCUAUCUGACCUCCUCAACCCAGUUACCCGGGCAACCCAAUACCCCAAUAGGCCUUAAUAGUCAAUUAUUAUUUUUAAAUUUCCAUUCAAAUGAUAUUAGUUACUUACUUUGAUUUUCUAUUUCAUCUUUUUUUAUAAUAGUACAUAGCACGGUGCUUCUAACAAUUGGUCUUAGUUAGUUAAUCUACUUAAAGUAUUAUUUAGAACACAUACCUAUAUUUAUUUAUCUACACUGAAAUAAUAAAGAGAAAAUAUUAUUUUGUUUAUUUGAAAAAUUAUUUCUUUGUUGUAAAGCUACAUUCUUCCCUCAAAACGCGGGAAAACGAGAAUCGAAUUUUACAUUGACUACAAUUUUUCGCUAUAAUUCUAAAAACUAUGAAUUAAAUCCGAAUUUAUCAUUCAAAACUAUGUUUGAUAUUAAUUGCUUUAUCAAAUAUUAUAAUUUUCGUAUCGAAACUUUUUUACGUACCUACCCUUUUAUAUUACUUUACUACAAUUUUGCCGUACCAUAGAGUUAUGUAAAAAAUAGACAUGAGUAAAUUAUAUUUUUGCCAAUAUUCUUAUCUUAGCACCACAGCAUAGGAAGUGGUGAAGGGCGGGCGUAGGUAUUUGCGGAUAGUCUUAUGUCACUGUUGACGUUCUAGAAAUUCUGUGUUGAAUAUAUGUUGCUACUGCCUACUGCCAAUUUCAUACUAUGUGUGUUUUUAGACUCUUACACAAUAGCCUAGGUUAGUUUAAUGUUGUGCGCACACACACCCACUCUCUCUCUUUCAUACACACACAAAAACACACACACACACACACACAAAAUAGAUGCCACGUUAUUAUUUCUAGUUUCUAAAUUCAUAUACAUUUUUCAUGAUCGAUUCCUAGGAAAUUGUGUAAAGGUCAUUAGUAUUAGUCAUUCCUUUCAAAUAUCUAUAUUGACCGGUUAAUUUGCGUUAUAACCGCUUUGACCGGUCAAUGUAGAAAUAAUUUUAGUCUUUAAUGAAAUGUAUUCCUUUAAUUUUAGUUGUUUUCUGAACUAUUUUAUUUUAGCUUAAUAUGUUUUUAGUUGGCGACAAUAUUGGACUAAUGUGAGCUUGUAAACAAAGCUACAAUUAUGACAUUUAUUUCUUCAAAAAUACUUCACAAAUAUUGGGUCCAAUAUUGCUUCCAACUGCACGCUGUACGCAUACUAAAAUCUCUAUUUAUGUGAAAAUAAAUAGUAUUUUAUAUGAAACUAUUCAAUGUAAACUUUAUUUUAUUAUUUGAUUUGUUUGAUCAUGGUGUUUUUUUUUUUUAUUAGAAAAAUGUGCUUGUAUUUCAACUUAAUUUGCUUAAACUCGGAUGGCUGACCUGAUGACGUAUCUGACUAUUAUUUAUUAUUACGUUGACAAAAACAUGUUUCAUACACAUAGUAAAAAGUACCUUUAUAAAUACCUAAGUCUGUUGAAACUUCACGCUUAAGAUUUUUUAUCGAUUCUUGAUUUUACCCUCAAAUAAAUUGCAAUAGACAAGAGAAAUGACGCGGGAAACAGCUAGUUUAAAAGGCGACGACUAUCAAGCAAUAGGAUAUGAUAUUUAUCUCAGGUUGAACUCUCUGUAUACUUUUGUAGGUCUAUGAUGCAUGUAAUUAUAUAGACUCAAGUUUAAUGACAAAAUAAACGUUAGUUUUCUUAAAACAACUGGGGCGCGAUUCUACAAAUUUUACUUAACCGUCAAAUCCGUAGCGGACCCCAAUUGGGGUCUGAACAUCAAUGUCACCGUAAGCUCGGUUUAGACCCCAAUCGGGGUCUGCGAAUCAGUCAUACACUGUCCUAAUUAUUUACGCUCAUAUUUAUUUUCUUUCCAAUCAAACCGCAUUUGUGAGUACUAAAUAAAUUUAAAUUAUUUUUACGCAUUCAAACCUUUCAUAUUUAGCAUCCCGUUAGAAAUAUACCUUUUUAAAAUCCAAUCGUAAUUACCGGGAAUUCUGAUCGAACUCGCCAUGUUUGUUUACAUUAGUUGUUUUUUUACACGCUUUUUAUUAGCUUCACCUGUAUGUUUGUAUGUUUGUAGGUUUGUAUGUUUGUAUGUUUGUUUGUAACCGACUUCUUUGGGCGCGAUUUUGACCCACUUUAAACGGCCAGAUUUCGUUCAAACUUUGUAGAUUUAUUGAGGACCGAUGACAAUACACUAAUUCGAUAAAAUUAUUUCAUUUUUAACCGACUUCCCAAAAAGGAGGAGGUUACACAUACACAUCGAUUACUCCGAGGCUUAUAGACCGAUUUACGUGAUUCUUUUUUUGUUCGACUCGGAAUAGCUGCCAGUUGGUCCCAUAGUCAUCAGGUCAGGAUCUGAUGAUGGAAACCCUGAGAAAUCGAGGGCAACCUUCAAAAGUUGUAGGGAUAAAUAGGGUAAAAACUUGACACUCAGGUGUACGCCUAAAAGCACUAUUAAACUGUGAAAAUUUGGAGCUGACCUGAUGAUGGAGACCAGAGAAAGUCGAGGGAACUCGACAACUGAAUAUGUAAACUACCUCGUGUUUGGGCUUCAAUUAUCCGUAUUGACAAGACCUAUGCAACAGUGAAGGUUUGGAGCUGACCUGAUGAUGGAGACCAGAGAAAGUCGAGGGAACUCGACAACUGAAUAUGUAAACUACCUCGUGUUUGGGCUUAAAUUUUUCGUAUUGACAAGACCUAUGCAACAGUGAAGGUUUGGAGCUGACCUGAUGAUGGAGACCAGAGAAAGUCGAGGGAACUCGACAACUGAAUAUGUAAACUACCUCGUGUUUGGGCUUAAAUUAUUCGUAUUGACAAGACCUAUGCAACAGUGAAGGUUUGGAGCUGACCUAAUGAUGGAGACCAGAGAAAGUCGAGGGAACUCGACAACUGAAUAUGUAAAAUACCUCGUUUGGACUUAUAUUCUUUGUAUUGAUGAGAACUUCCCACUUGUAUGGAUAGUGACAACUAUUCGCAUCACUGAAAAGCUUUAAAUAAAUAACCUUUUUACAAAAAAAUUAAACCCACUUCCCAAAACACUAAAAAGCAAAAAAAAAACUAAUUUUAGGCUUUUCAAUUUGCAAAAUAUGAUUUUUGUUAAUUUAUAUAAUUUUCAUCUAUAGUCGAUAAGGUAAGAAAAUUAAUUAAAAUUUUCUAGAAUAUUUCUCUACAGUCGAUAAAGCAGGACUCGAUGUUAAUUUUUAUUUCCAAUAAUUAUCUUUAGCCGUUUUCUCUAAUAUUGACAAUUUUUUGUAUACUAAAGAGAAUUUUAAUUCUACAAAACAAAUAAUGGUUUUAAAACAAACUAAAAAGUAGAAAAUAAAUAAUAGUUUAAAAAAACUAAAAAACACGCUUUUUAUAGAAAAACGAACUAAAAAAUAGAAAAUAAAUUUUAAUGAAUUUAAAUUAAGAAAACAGUGUUUAAAAUUUCAAUGAAUAUAAAUUAAUAAUAGUGUGAAUACAAAAAAAAAAUAUUAAAAAAAAGCGUGGGGUGCUUUUUAAGAUAUUAUCGAAAUGAAGAUCACUGUACUCAUAUCUGUCAAUAAAAUAUUUAUAACUAUUGACACCAUGCACCCCACGCUUUUUUUAAAUAUUUUUUUUUGUAUUCACACUAUUAUUAAUUUAUAUUCAUUGAAAUUUUAAACACUGUUUUCUUAAUUUAAAUUCAUUAAAAUUUAUUUUCUAUUUUUUAGUUCGUUUUUCUAUAAAAAGCGUGUUUUUUAGUUUUUUUAAACUAUUAUUUAUUAAAUUUGAAGAUGCAUAGACAAGAUGGCGACGGUGAUAGAAGUUUUGCAUCGAAUGAUCCGAUUCGUUAAAAUAAAGAAUCGAUUUAAUAAUUUUAUAUUAUAAUAUUACUAAAUUGCACUUUUGUAUACUUACCAUAAUCUGAAAAUAAAUUAGGAAAAGUAAAAUGACUUAAUUUAUUUUGAAAAAAAAAAUGCUCUAAAAUCAGUGGUAGAAAAUACGUUGUAGCCGGAAUAAAAAAAAUCUUUGGUUUUAGGGUUUCUGAAGACGGCAAAUGAAGAAGGUGUUUUAUGUGCAGAAUUCCUGUAGACCUGCCAAACUUAAUGGCGAUUCGUUACUUCCAACUUUUUAACUGAGCGGCAAAGCUAUUUGACGAGAGCUGUAGUUAGGUGUAGUUAUCGCAAAAUUUUAUGACGAUUUUAUUGUUUGAAAGGGCAAAUAGGUAGUCGGAAGUGCUGCUCGCUGUUCAUCGAAAGCUGGUCCAAGAUGGAAAGAUGGCCGCCGCCGACUUAUUUUUAACCGAUUUCCCAAAAAAGCGGAGGUUCUCAAUUCGACCUUUUUUUGUAUGUUUGUUACGCGAUUACUCAGCCAUUUAUUUAUCGAUUUUGAUGAUUCUUUUUUUGUUUGAUAGCGUAUACUUCCGGGGUGGUCCCAAUCCCAAUAUCCGGUCAGGAUCUGAUGAUGGAAACCUUGAGAAAUCGAGGGCGACGACGAGAAGCGAGGUCAUGUGCUUAUACAUGACUUUGGUAGUUACAAAUUGCAUUACAUUUCAGAACGCCAGGCUUACCCUCCGCCGAAACAAAAAUCUUAGAAUUGUUGAGAAAUAAUAUAAGAAUAAAUUAAAAUUCCGUAAUAGGUAAUAAAAAUUCAAUUAAAAUUAAAAAUUAUUACGAAUGACGCAACACCAAAAUAAAUAAUACAUAUAAAAAUUUAAUGCUAAAAACUUUCAUAAAACUUAAAUAUCUUUUUUCUUAACAACAAAAACAAAUUGAACCUAUAAUUUAAAAUUAAUAAAUAAAAUUGAAAAAGGUUGCUAUUAAAAAAAAUAUAUAAAAUUGGUAUUCGAUUAUUGAUUAUAAAUAUCCGAUUUAGGUAUCGAAUGCACACCGCUGAUUGAAAAAAAAAAAAAACUCUAUUCCAAACUCUACUUGUCUGUGACUUUGAUCUUGUAAAUUGUUCAUUUUUAUUGUGUAUUUUAUGUGCUAAUUUUUUAGUCAUUGAACAUAAAUAAGUGCACGAAAUGUGUUGCAACGGAUUGAAAAUGUUAUAAAUAUGACGUUUGUGUUGUGUUUGAGAAAGUGAUGCGAUUAUUUAUUGGUAAGUUUUCACCAAAUUUGAAAUGCCUAACUUUUCGAUAGACUUAAAAACACCGUAAUUAUUAUCUUUUUCUGAAUUAACUGACCCCAUUUGACCUUCGCACGUUGUUGUCAAAUAAGUGAGCUCUAAAGUUAUAGUUAAAAUACUUCUGAUCAGGCAUUACGGACUUGGAAUUCAUUUGUUGAAAGUUAGUACAAAUUUUUUACUUCCAUGUCGCGAUUCAAAAUAUCCCGCCGAAUCAACGGUAUGUCAAUCAAAACCUUGUCGAGCAGAUACAUACACACAUACGAUUCACAUCCGACGGAGACCUAAUCACUCCUCAAUUACGAUUGAAGCGUAUAUGGCAUUCUUCCGCUAUUUUCUCUGUGAAAUAAACGUUUUUAUCCUUUUCUGGGAUUCAAUAAUGAAUCGUAUUGUCUGCUAAUUAUUUACGAUUGCAAUAUGAUUGUAGAGCAAGCUACUGUAUAGACUAAAUGGCAGACCAAUCAAAUGUCAUUGGAAUACGAUUGGUCUUAUAAUGCUCCUGCUCCACCUGCGUUAGCGUUAACGUUAAUGUCAAUGGCCAACUACACGUUACUUAUUGCAUUAAAAAUGCGUGUUGGCUACACUUAGGUACAAUUCUGCAAAGAGUUAAUCCCUCAUGAAGUAACGCGUUAACACGCAUUAAAGAGGUUAAACUCAGACACACAAAAUAAUUCUAAAAACUAAAGCUUUCUCAUUUGACCAUUCCAUUACCGUGCUCGUAAAAUGCAGUUACCGCUUAAACAAAGUAUCUACACUCGUCCUUGCAUGCGUGCAAUGAGAUGGCAUUAAUGUAGCCAACAUCACUUAGCGCUCUAAGCUACGCACUAAAACCCUUUGAUGUGUCCAAAAAACCGACACCCGAGUUAUCGCUUAACGUUUAAUGCUAUUAAUAAUGCCAUUUGUAUAAAUUGCCAUUAAAACGUUGGCCACAUCUGCGUAAUGCCAAAAUUUAACGCGUUAAGACGCAGGUGGAGCAGUAGCAUAAGAGUAGCAGAAUGCCCGCUAAGGUUAAAACUGCUAUUGCGAUUCAAUUUCUAUUCAAUUUUGACAUUUUGUUUUAAGAAAACUGACGUUUAUCUUGCCAGUUUUGGGUCUAAAAGAGCAUUUAUAAUAAAAAUAGUAACUGUAUAUAUUGUACAAAUGUGUUUUAUAAAAAUAAACAAUUAAAAAUUUA